rnacentral:rRNA from 1 species
UACGUAGGGGGCAAGCGUUGUCCGGAUUUAUUGGGCGUAAAGAGCGUGUAGGCGGCCAGGUAGGUCAGCUGUGAAAACUCGAGGCUCAACCUCGAGACGUCGGUUGAAACCACCUGGCUAGAGUCCGGAAGAGGAGAGUGGAAUUCCUGGUGUAGCGGUGAAAUGGCGCAGAUAUCAGGAAGAACACCCGUGGCGAAGGCGGCUCUCUGGGACGGUACUGACGCUGAGACGCGAAAGCGUGGGGAGCGAACAGG